AUGAAUGAUAAUUCUGUAAAUUGGCGCUUUACGGGUUUCUAUGGUUAUCCGGCAUGGAAUGAAAAAUAUUUAUCUUGGGCGGAUCUUCGCCAACUGCAUUCCCUUGCUGAUUAUCCUUGGGUAGUCAUUGGAGAUUUUAAUGAAAUUAUCUACUCUAGCGAAAAAGAAGGUGGCAAUGCUAGACCAAAUGAAAUGAUGCAGGAAUUCCGUAAGUGUUUGAGUGAUUGUAAUCUGGAGGAUAUGGGCUCUGUUGGUGAUCCAUUCACUUGGAGAAGGGGGGACAUCCGUGAAAGGCUUGAUCGAGCUGUAUGUAAUAUAGAAUGGGCAAACAAAUUUCCGCGUGCGGCGAUUAUUAAUGGGGAGCAUGUACACUCAGACCAUCAUCCGUUAAUUCUUGACACAGAUUAUUUUGAUAGUAACUUGUUUAAUCGUCGGAAUGGUCGUGUGAGACAAUUUGAAGCAAAAUGGCUGAAAGAAGAUACUGUUGAGGAGAUUGUGAAGACUGCUUGGGAAAAAGCAAAGUUGGCGGGUAUUGGUCCCUCUCUCGCAGCACGGACUAGAGCGGUGCAUGAUGAUUUACAUUCUUGGGACCGAAUUACUUUGAAAGGACCAAAGAGAAGAAUAAAUAAGUUAAAAAAAGAACUAGAGAGGCUGAAACGUGGUCCUAUUAGUGGUGAGUCCCGCUCAAGGCAAAAGGAAAUUCUAGUACUCGUUGAAAAUCUUUUGGACCAAGAGGAAAUUUUUUGGUUACAGAGAGGUCGAGCAAACUGGUUGUUACAUGGGGACCGUAAUACUUCUUUUUUUCAUAAUGCUGCAACGGCCAGGAAAAAAAGGAACAAUAUUAGAAGACUUCUGGAUGAUACUGGGGUUUAG
rnacentral:rRNA from 1 species